GGAUCCCAAGGGUUUGCCUCAGAGAGGAUCCAAUUCCUUCUCUACUACAAAAAGUUAUAAACAAGGUUUCUCAAUUCAAUCUGGGCAAUGUUAUCUGUACACAUUUUUUUAAUUCUCAUACACCUUUUAUUUAUUUAUAUUUUAUUAAUUUUCUUUAAUUCAGUCGAUAUGAUGUCCGCAAAUUAAUAAGCUGUGUAUGAAGUGAAAAAUGAUGUGUAGAUGGUACACCCCUUCAAUUCUCAAAUUUUUUUACUGAAAAACCUAAAACUCAUUCGGCAACUAUUUUUCAUUGUCAUGAAAAAUACAUGGUUGAGUUUUCAAUUUUUUUUUUUUUUUUUUUAAUAUAAGUAGAUACCAAUUGAAUUUUUUGUUUUUUUAGUUUUUCAAUAGAAACUAAAAGUUAAGAACUAAUUGCUAAAAUAAAAUGGUAAUUAAACGGACCCAAAGAGAAGUAUUGUAAUUCUAUGAGAUUCAAAAAGUGGUCCACCAACUUCCUGAAAUUAUCCAUAAUUUAUUAUGAGAGGAAAAAAAAAGAAACCAACUAGAUUUGAUUUGAUUCAAAUGGAUUCUCGCAACCGCAUCCACCAUCUGAUCCGGUUUUGGAAGUUACAAAGUCAACUCGAUCCGCCAAAUUAUUGAAGCUGAUUAAAAUUAGAUUGGUUUGAAUUGGAUUUGUCAGUUUGGGUGAAUUAGAUUAAUUGGAUAUUUAACAUCCUUAAACUGAGUGUUGAGAGUAUAAUCCCACAUUUAGGAAAUGCUUAU
rnacentral:lncRNA from 1 species